rnacentral:rRNA from 1 species
UACGAAGGGGGCUAGCGUUGUUCGGAUUUACUGGGCGUAAAGCGCACGUAGGCGGAUCGAUCAGUCAGGGGUGAAAUCCCAGAGCUCAACUCUGGAACUGCCUUUUGAUACUGUCGAUCUGGAGUAUGGGAAGAGGUGAGUGGAAUUCCGAGUGUAGAGGUGAAAUUCGUAGAUAUUCGGAGGAACACCAGUGGCGAAGGCGGCUCACUGGUCCAUUACUGACGCUGAGGUGCGAAAGCGUGGGGAGCAAACAGG